UCUGGUCUCGGCGAACCGCUCAGUAACACGUGGAUAACAUGCCCUAAGGUGGGGGAUAAUCUCGGGAAACUGAGGAUAAUACCCCAUAGAUCUUCUAUGCUGGAAUGCUCGAAGGCCGAAAACUCCGGUGCCUUAGGAUUGGUCUGCGGCCUAUCAGGCAGUAGUGGGUGUAAUGGACCCACUAGCCCGUGACGGGUAUGGGCCUUGAGAGAGGGAGCCCAGAGAUGGACUCUGAGACAUGAGUCCAGGCCCUACGGGGCGCAGCAGACGCGAAAACUUCGCAAUGGGGGCAACCCCGACGAGGGAAUUCCAAGUGCCAGCACUUUGUGUUGGCUGUUCUCUUGUCUAAAAAACAAGAGGAGUAAGGGGCGGGUAAGACGGGUGCCAGCCGCCGCGGUAAUACCCGCGCCCCAAGUGGUGGUCGAUAUUAUUGAGCCUAAAACGUCCGUAGCCGGUCUUUUAAAUCCUUGGGUAAAUCGGGCAGCUUAACUGUCCGACUUCCGAGGAGACUGGAAGACUUGGGACCGGGAGAGGUCAGAGGUACUUCUG
rnacentral:rRNA from 1 species